rnacentral:rRNA from 1 species
GAUGAACGCUGGCGGCGUGCCUAAUACAUGCAAGUCGAGCGAACAGACGAGGAGCUUGCUCCUCUGACGUUAGCGGCGGACGGGUGAGUCACACGUGGAUAACCUACCUAUAAGACUGGGAUAAGUUCGGGAAACCGGAGCACAUACUGGAAAAUAUAUUGAACUGCAUGGUUCAAUAGUGAAAGACGGUUUUGCUGUCACCUAUAGAUGUAUCCGCGCCGCAUUAGCUAGUUGGUAAGGUAACGGCUUACCAAGGCAACGAUGCGUAGCCGACCUGAGAGGGGGAUCGGCCACACUGGAACUGAGACACGGUCCAGACUCCUACGGGAGGCAGCAGUAGGGAAUCGUCCGCAAUGGGCGAAAGCCUGACGGAGCAACGCCGAGUGAGUGAUGAAGGUCUUCGGAUCGUAAAACUCUGUUAUUAGGGAAGAACAAAUGUGUAAGUAACUAUGGACGUCUUGACGGUACCUAAUCAGAAAGCCACGGCUAACUACGUG